rnacentral:rRNA from 1 species
GUAGCGGCGAACGAAACGGCAGGAGGGCAAACCGAAGAGUUUACUCUUCGGGGUUGUAGUACUGCAAUGUGGACUCAAAGAUUAUAGAAGAAUGAUUUGGGAAGAUCAGCCAAAGAGAGUAAUAGCCUCGUAUUUAAAAUAGUCUUUGUACCUAGCAGUAUCCUGAGUACGGCGGGCCACGUGAAAUCCCGUCGGAAUCUGGGAGGACCAUCUCCCAAGCCUACAUACUCCCUA